AUGGAAGUUUUCCGACUGGAGUCCCGUGUUGUAGCUGUCGUGGACUAUCUCGCAAAGCUGAAGGCUGCCACAUCGCGCAUCGACUCGACGCUCUGGCCUGAGGAGACACUUCAGAAUGACCUUGAGUCGCUGAUGGCCCGCUUGAACACGAUCCCUGGUCGAGUGCAGGAGUGGAAGAAGUCCUCGGCUCGGUGUGGUGCAGAUGUCGCUUUGUGUCUGGCCCGAGUCCACUGCAAAGAUGCGCGAGAGGAGAAGCUGGCGGCCCUUCGGGUGGCCAAUACCAAGAAGCACGACUUCAGGUCCUUUAUGGAAACUUUCCUUGCAGCUGCCACUCGGAUCGCCGACGGAAUUGACCUUGAUGAAUUCGUUGCACCUUCCAGCCCUCCACAGGAGGGGUAA
rnacentral:rRNA from 1 species